GAUCGGAGAAACAUUUGGAAGAGUAACAAGUGAAGCAAUGGCAUUUGGUAUACCGGUGCUUGGAACAGAUGCAGAAGGUACAAAAGAGAUUGUUGAACACAAUGUAACUGGUCUUCUGCAUCCCAUUGGGCACCCAGGAACCCCUGUUCUUUCCAAACACCUUUGGUA